ACGAACGCUGGCGGCGUGCUUAACACAUGCAAGUCGAACGGUGAAGCGCCUUCCUUUUUGGUGGGUGUGGAUGAGUGGCGAACGGGUGAGUAACACGUGAGUAACCUGCCCCCUUCUUCUGGAUAACCGCAUGAAAGUGUGGCUAAUACGGGAUAUUCUGGGUCUGUCGCAUGAUGGGUCUGGGAAAGAUAUUGUUUCGGUGGGGGAUGGGCUCGCGGCCUAUCAGCUUGUUGGUGGGGUGAUGGCCUACCAAGGCGGUGACGGGCAGCCGGCCUGGGAGGGUCGGCCGCACCACUAGGGCGGCGAGGCGGCGACUCCUACUGGGGGCAGCAGCAGGGGGGAAUGGUGAACGGUGGACGGCCGGCUGAUGCAGCGACGCGGGGGGGAGGAUGGAGUCCUGGUUGUUGAGAACCUCUGUCGGGAGCGAAGAAGGCUUGCCUAAUUUGUCGGUGGGUUGACGGUAGCUGGAGAAGAAGCGCCGGCUAACUACGUG
rnacentral:rRNA from 1 species